AAGUCGUAACAAGGUUUCCGUAGGUGAACCUGCGGAAGGAUCAUUAAUUAAAUGUGAUACUUUCAUAUAUAUAAUUAGUCACGUGAGAAUUGAGGGGAAGAUUUUAUAUUUUUGAAUUUAUUCAAUUUUAUAAUAUUUACCUAAUAUUUCUUUAAUUGACAUUUUAAAUUUACCUUGAUAAUAUUUAUUAAUUUAAGUGUUAUUAAUCUUUUUGGGCUUAAAACACCCAAAAUAAAACUAUUUUUAAUUUUUAUUUAAAUAAAAUUGCAUUCUUAAUUAUAUUAAUUUAUUAAAAUUAUAUAACAACUAAUAACAAUGGAUCUCUUGGCACU
rnacentral:misc_RNA from 1 species